GACGAACCGUGCGAACGUUGUUCGGAAUAACUGGGCUUAAAGGGAGCGUAGGCGGGCCCUCCAGUCUGUGGUGAAAUCCCCCCGCUCAACGGGGGAACUGCCGUGGAUACUGCGGACCUUGAGGAUGAGAGGGGCGAGCGGAACAGUUGGUGGAGCGGUGAAAUGCGUUGAUAUCAACUGGAACUCCGGUGGCGAAGGCGGCACGCUGGGUCUUUUCUGACGCUGAGGCGCGAAAGCUAGGGGAGCAAACGGG
rnacentral:rRNA from 1 species